UACAGAGGGGGCAAGCGUUAUUCGGAAUUAUUGGGCGUAAAGGGCGCGUAGGCGGCUUUGCAAGUGACGGGUGAAAGCCCUCGGCUUAACCGAGGAACUGCCUGUCAGACUGUGAGGCUUGAGACCGGGAGAGGUGAGUGGAAUUCCCAGUGUAGCGGUGAAAUGCGUAGAUAUUGGGAGGAACACCAGUGGCGAAGGCGGCUCACUGGACCGGAACUGACGCUGAGGCGCGAAAGCGUGGGGAGCAAACAGG
rnacentral:ncRNA from 2 species